rnacentral:rRNA from 1 species
AACUGGUGAGUAACACGUGGGUAACCUGCCCAGAAGCGGGGGAUAACACUUGGAAACAGGUGCUAAUACCGCAUAACAACAGAAACCGCAUGGUUUCUGUUUGAAAGAUGGUUUCGGCUACCACUUCUGGAUGGACCCGCGGCGUAUUAGCUAGUUGGUGGAGUAAUGGUUCACCAAGGCAAUGAUACGUAGCCGACCUGAGAGGGUAAUCGGCCACAUUGGGACUGAGACACGGCCCAAACUCCUACGGGAGGCAGCAGUAGGGAAUCUUCCACAAUGGACGAAAGUCUGAUGGAGCAACGCCGCGUGAGUGAAGAAGGGUUUCGGCUCGUAAAACUCUGUUGUUGAAGAAGAACACACCUGAGAGUAACUGUUCAGGUGUUGACGGUAUUUAACCAGAAAGCCACGGCUAACUACGUGCCAGCAGCCGCGGUAAUACGUAGGUGGCAAGCGUUGUCCGGAUUUAUUGGGCGUAAAGCGAGCGCAGGCGGUUUCUUAAGUCUGAUGUGAAAGCCUUCGGCUUAACCGGAGAAGUGCAUCGGAAACUGGGAGACUUGAGUGCAGAAGAGGACAGUGGAACUCCAUGUGUAGCGGUGAAAUGCGUAGAUAUAUGGAAGAACACCAGUGGCGAAGGCGGCUGUCUGGUCUGUAACUGACGCUGAGGCUCGAAAGCAUGGGUAGCGAACAGGAUUAGAUACCCUGGUAGUCCAUGCCGUAAACGAUGAAUGCUAG